rnacentral:rRNA from 1 species
UACGUAGGGUGCGAGCGUUAAUCGGAAUCACUGGGCGUAAAGCGCGUGUAGGCGGUUCCGUAAGUCCGCUCUGAAAGCCCAGGGCUCAACCCUGGGAGGCGGGUGGAUACUACGGAACUGGAGUACGGAAGAGGAGAUUGGAAUUCCUGGUGUAGCGGUGAAAUGCGCAGAUAUCAGGAGGAACACCAACAGCGAAGGCAGAUCUCUGGGACGUUACUGACGCUGAGACGCGAAAGCGUGGGGAGCAAACAGG